rnacentral:rRNA from 1 species
UACGAAGGGGGCUAGCGUUGCUCGGAAUCACUGGGCGUAAAGCGCACGUAGGCGGCUUUUUAAGUCAGGGGUGAAAUCCUGGAGCUCAACUCCAGAACUGCCUUUGAUACUGAGAAGCUUGAGUCCGGGAGAGGUGAGUGGAACUGCGAGUGUAGAGGUGAAAUUCGUAGAUAUUCGCAAGAACACCAGUGGCGAAGGCGGCUCACUGGAUCGGUACUGACGCUGAGGUGCGAAAGCGUGGGGAGCAAACAGG